rnacentral:rRNA from 1 species
CUACGGGAUGCUGCAGUGAGGAAUAUUGCGCAAUGGGGGAAACCCUGACGCAGCGACGCCGCGUGGAUGAUGAAGGCCUUAGGGUCGUAAAAUCCUGUCAGGUGGGAAGAAGUGGAUAUAGAUUAAUACUCUAUUUCUUUGACGGUACCACCAAAGGAAGCACCGGCUAACUCCGUGCCAGCAGUCGCGGUAAUACGGAGGGUGCAAACGUUGUUCGGAAUUACUGGGCGUAAAGCGCGCGUAGGCGGUUUGUUAAGUCAGAUGUGAAAGUCCAUGGCUUAACUAUGGAAGUGCAUUUGAAACUGGCAGACUUGAGUACUGGAGGGGGUGAUGGAAUUCCCGGUGUAGAGGUGAAAUUCGUAGAUAUCGGGAGGAAUACCGGUGGCGAAGGCGAUCACCUGGCCAGAUACUGACGCUGAGGUGCGAAAGCGUGGGGAGCAAACAGGAUUAGAUACCCGGGUAGUC